AGAGUUUGAUCAUGGCUCAGAAUCAACGCUGGCGGCGUGCCUAACACAUGCAAGUCGCACGAGAAAGUGGAGCAAUCCAUGAGUAUAGUGGCGCACGGGUGAGUAACACGUGAAUCAUCUACCUCCGAGUGGGGAAUAACCUAGAGAAAUCUGGGCUAAUACCGCAUAACACUUACGAGUCAAAGCAGCAAUGCGCUUGGAGAGGAGUUCGCGGCAGAUUAGUUAGUUGGCGGGGUAAUGGCCCACCAAGACGAUGAUCUGUAUCCGGCCUGAGAGGGCGCACGGACACACUGGAACUGAAACACGGUCCAGACUCCUACGGGAGGCAGCAGUGGGGAAUUUUGCGCAAUGGGGGAAACCCUGACGCAGCAACGCCGCGUGGAGGAUGAAAUCCCUUGGGAUGUAAACUCCUUUCGAUUGGGAAGAUUAUGACGGUACCAAUAGAAGAAGCCCCGGCUAACUUCGUGCCAGCAGCCGCGGUAAUACGAGGGGGGCAAGCGUUGUUCGGAAUUAUUGGGCGUAAAGGGCGCGUAGGCGGUUUGACAAGUCUGAUGUGAAAUCUCUGGGCUCAACCCAGAGUCUGCAUUAGAAACUGUCGGGCUUGAGUAUGGGAGAGGUGAGUGGAAUUUCCGGUGUAGCGGUGAAAUGCGUAGAUAUCGGAAGGAACACCUGUGGCGAAAGCGGCUCACUGGACCAUAACUGACGCUGAGGCGCGAAAGCUAGGGGAGCAAACAGGAUUAGAUACCCUAGUAGUCC
rnacentral:rRNA from 1 species